rnacentral:lncRNA from 1 species
GGCCUCAGUAUGUUCACAUUUGGGAAAGGGCGGAGCGAGAGGAGCUGAGUCCUUCUCGGUUUAAAAGGGUCUCUCCAACUUUUCCACUGAAGAGUGAAUCCAGAGCCUCUCUCCCACCAAGAUACUGCUGUCUUUCCAGACCUCCUAAUGCUAACUUUUUAAACAGACAUGAAUUGCUUGCUUUUUGAAUUUUGCUGUGACUUUUAGAAAUACAUUUAUGGUAAGGUGCUGGGAAGGAAGUUGAGCGACCCUUUCCUAUGUACUCUCAAGAUUCAGCACUUGUUGAGAAUGGGCCAACUAGCUGCUUCAGUCCUGACGGUGCUAACUUCUGACUUCUAGGACAAGUCAAGAUAAUGCAAAUGUUUUGCGGUUACAUGUAUGUUCGACGACUUCGAAAACCCUGUUCUGAGAAUAGACUUGGCACGAAAAAAAGAGAAGCAAGUGGUGAGUUUGUCCCAGCUGGAUGUAAAAAGGAGCUCAGUGGAGGAGAAUAAAUACAAUUAGAACAAGAUGGCUGUUCCGUGCCUCUCACCUCUCCGUGAGUAACAGCAAACGCAGCAACAUUUACAGUACUUGGACGAAAAAACCUACGUAUGAGCGAAGAGUCAGAUUUCCAGCUAAAUGAUGUCUCAAGUUCAAAGGAACAUGCUUUAGGGAUAGAUUUGGAAGUUCAAAUGCUUUGUGUCAAAGCAUCUGAAUUUUGAGAAGAUACUCUGGAAAAGAUCUAGCAAGAUGGCAGAAGCACAUAUGGAAGACUAUGAAGGCCAGUAAUCAGGUUGCCAAUUUGUCAAGUCUACAAGAAAGGAAACUAAACAGUAACAACUGUCUCCAUGCCCUUCUACUUCAGGUCUUGGAGAGACUCCGCAGCAUUGUUCAUAAUGGCUGUUCACAGCAAACAGGAUUUCAAACCUUCUGGGCUUCUUCCCAACUUUAAAUUCUGUUGACUGGAUUUACUAGGGGAGAGAGAGACAGGCUUAAUGCGUUUUAAGAUAAUUUUCUCCCCAAGGACUUAGAAAGGAAACACAUUUGAUAAUUAAGGGCAUGGUGGAAUCUAAGUUUUUGCGCCUGACUUUGAAGAUCUAGUGUCUUAUAUUUAAUCUGGACUCAGCUUCACCUCUCUUCAGUCACUGAGCUGUGGCUACACAGUGUACCUGGAUAUGAUUCCACCAGAUUCUAAGUGAGAAACACAUGAUGCUCACAUGGACACAGGUAGCAUAAUGGGUCUGGACCAGGUGAAGCUCAGACUUCUCAUGGUCUGCUGGCUGGAGAGCCUCCUCCUUCUGUUGUGCAGACUGGCCAAGGACUCACACUAUCCUGGUCUUAGCCUCAUAAGUGAUUAAGGGAUUUCUCCAUCUUUCAAAAUAUGGUCUCUACACUGGUGCCAGGACUAGAAUGUGCAAUUAGAAGCACAGGAAGAUGAAGUUUGGUGAACCUCUUACUUAAAAGAUAUCUCAUCUCCCCUUUCCACACAACUGAAGCAACCUAAUCCACUUCAUUCAUUUUACAUUUAGAAUUACAUUUUAGAAUUGCACAUUUUCUUGGGUCAACACGUGUCAAGGAUUUAGCCCUAUGGGCCCUGAAAUAGACACUAUCUUUUUCAUCCCUUUGAUUUACUCAUGGCAUGCUUAGACAUUUAUUACAGCAUCUCAUUAAGUAGUGAAUGAGACUCAUGUGUGCAGAACAGAUCUAAAAUUGUUUCUGAGAUGUAGAUUUUUUCGAAAAGUCCCAACAUUUCUUCCACACAAAGAUAGAUGUCAUACCUAUGUAUCAAUUAGAGCUUUAAUGGAGUAAGAUUAUCUGUUCUAUGGUAAUAAAGUUUUCUUUCUUCUGAGCAGCCACUUGCAAAGUUGUGCAAGAUUCCAUGCUUUAAAUGGCAAACAGUACUGCUCAUCUCACAGAAUUCAAGUCGAUCCAGAUGUGGAUUUGAUUAAUAGAAGCUUACUAACUGUGGCUAAUUACUGAUAAUGAUAGCAUCACGAGGCAACCUCCUCAUCAAUGUCACCUUGGUCUCUUCUGAUUGCUAGGAUAGGAAGAAACUCUACCUGCCGCUCUUCCCCAGUCAAAAUGAAAACAGGGUUGGAUUUAAACCUUGGUUUGAAUGGUAGUGAGGUAGUGAACACAGGUGCAAUAACAAGUAGCCAUCCAGAAAAUGAAAGCUGCUUUUUAGAGCCAUGUGGGUACUACAGACCUGUGGACACUGGUUUUACAGUAAGGACAGAUUAGCUAAUAUCCAAAUUCUCAGAGCAGUGUUUAGUGAUCUUUUGGUAGUUUUCCCUUGACACUUAGAGCUCCAUUCUAAUUGUUUCUGUUUCCUAAAAGCAGGGGAACAGAGUUUAUGUGUCGAGAAUAAAAGUGAAAAUAAACGUCUUUUCCUGUUAGAAUAAUUUUUUUAUAGUGGUAAAACCCUUAGCAUUUCUGCCUCUUGCAUCUUUGCUUAGCAUGCCCAGAGUGUUUAUUGUUACCAUUCCCUAAACAGUACUGCAUUUACAUUUUGUUGUACAUGUUAUAUGCAACAUGCAGACAAACUAAAGUGUAUAGUAGGAUUGUGUACAUUAUAAAUGAGUACUGUGCCAAUUGAUGUGUAAGGGAUGAGCACUGUCAGAUUUGGGUAUCUGUGGGGGUCUUUGAAACAGUCCCUUGUGGAUUCCUAUGGAGGCUGUGCAUGAUUACAGCAUUUUUCUCUUUCAAGCCUAAUUGCCAGCAACUAGAUUUUCAGUGUUCUCCCAAAUAUUUGGGGGCUCUUGAGAAUUCCCAGACAGCUCAUUCUCCUAUUGUGUUUUCUUGUUCUAUUUCUAUGUUGCCUGACUGCUGCCUAUGAUCAGCCAGUAUUCUCAGACUUCUGCUGCAUGCCACAGCAAGGCUUCACUAAUAACUAUUGCUGAAUUCCCAAUGUGAUAUUAGGGAGAAGUCAGGCCAGGCUCAUUUGCUAUUUUUUUUUUCUGAAACAUGGUGCAUGCAAGUUUAACUCACAUCACAAAAGAGACUAGGCUAAAAUAUUCAAGAGGAUCAAAAUUUAGGGCUGUGAAAUACAACAGAAAAAACUUGAUCAUCUAUUUAAAAUGGUCACAAUUAAAACAAUUUUACUUAUUUGUGAAUUUCUUUUUUGUGCAGGGGAUUGAUCUGAGAGGCCUUCUACAUGCUAGCGAAACUGGCAUCCAUAUCUCAGAUGUUUUCCAGUAGGCAAUACACACAUAUUAGCGAAAUCUGGCAUCCAUAGUUCUCAGAUGUUUUCUAGUAGGCAAUACACACAUAUAGGUAUUGAUGAGCCUUGAAGAAUAGUCACUAGAGUCCAGUAAUACACUUUAAAAGUUGGAGACUAGCUAAGCAUCGAGAGUAACACAUCACCAACUCAUUCCUGAUCGCCUUUGUCUCAUUCUUUCCUACAAUGUGAAUUUCUCGUAGUUCUACCUAAGAUUCACUCCUAGACCACAUAGUACUCAGCAUGAACACAUAAUACUUUAUGGAGAUAUAGUUUUAAAAGAAAAAUCCAUUUAAAAUCAUUUAUCCCUCUUUAUAGUUCCAUAUUGAUUCUGUAGACAUAUUCUGUUUACCCCAAUAGUUUUUAAAAAUAAAUUUUUGUAUUGCUUACGGAUAAUUAAACAAUAGGAUAUUUCA